rnacentral:lncRNA from 1 species
UUAUAUUCUAGCGUCAAAUUCAUGCAUGUAAAUUAAGUAUGUAUUCUUAAUCGACAUACAAAAAUAAGUUAUCAAUCAAGCAGUUAAGCAAAUUAAAUCACAACUCAGAAAUCACAACUGAAGGUAAUCAAUUCAUAUUACAAAUAUAUUCAUGGCUUUGAAUUAACCUCUAGCCAAAAUAAAUUUAGUUACACAUUAUUAAAACAGAAAUAAAAUAUAAAUUUGGAAAGAUUUAACCGAAAGAUUGAGUGAAGCCUCUGCUUCUGUGCUACUGCUACCGUGCUUCCGUCAGCCUCUGUCAAUCUCUCUCUGCCUAUCUCUCCUCUCCGAGGCUCACGCUGCGCAAGGCAGCUUGCUGAUUCUUCUCUCGUUUCUGCUCCUCGUCCCUCUCCCUCACUCAAUUUUCUGUCUGUUCUCUCUAUCCAUCUCUCUGCCUUCUGUCCCCCCUUUUUCGCUAGAGCCCUCCUCUACUUGCUGUGUUUAUUUAUUUCUUUAUUUGACUUUUCUUCUAUUGCCAACCUGUGCUUUGCUGUAUUGUUGCCUUUCAGACAAAACCAAAGGGCAGCCUUAAUCAUUCAUCAUGAUUAUUCAUCAUGAUUUUAUGCUUUAUGCUCUUCUUUGUCAUCUUUGUCUGCUUUUCAAUUCCAAUCUGCAAGUUGUCGUCAGCUAGACCUUCCCUUACUCAAAUGCCCAUAACGUCUUCUAGAAAAAUAAUAUUAACAAUCCGCGAAGUGUUCUAGAAAAUAGACAUCUGUAGCUUUCCAAGCAUAUAAGGCUCAUUCUCUAAUUCAUUCUGAACUGUUCGCAACUUGCUCCCAAAGUCAGCUGAUCUACACAGGCAGUUUUGACGAAUUUAUUACAUAAAAUUUCACUUGUUCUAUUUUUAUUUUUUUUGCAUAACAAAUCCUAUAAACACAAAAAUAACGUAAAUAGCU